rnacentral:rRNA from 1 species
CAGUCGCCACGGUAUUACAGAGGGUGCAAGCGUUAAUCGGAAUUACUGGGCGUAAAGCGCGCGUAGGUGGUUUGUUAAGUUGGAUGUGAAAGCCCCGGGCUCAACCUGGGAACUGCAUCCAAAACUGGCAAGCUAGAGUACGGUAGAGGGUGGUGGAAUUUCCUGUGUAGCGGUGAAAUGCGUAGAUAUAGGAAGGAACACCAGUGGCGAAGGCGACCACCUGGACUGAUACUGACACUGAGGUGCGAAAGCGUGGGGAGCAAACAGGAUUAGAUACCCCUGUAGUCCCUGUCUCUUAUAC